rnacentral:rRNA from 1 species
GUAAUACAUCGGAACGUGUCCUGUAGUGGGGGAUAGCCCGGCGAAAGCCGGAUUAAUACCGCAUACGAUCUACGGAAGAAAGCGGGGGAUCCUUCGGGACCUCGCGCUAUAGGGGCGGCCGAUGGCAGAUUAGCUAGUUGGUGGGGUAAAGGCCUACCAAGGCGACGAUCUGUAGCUGGUCUGAGAGGACGACCAGCCACACUGGGACUGAGACACGGCCCAGACUCCUACGGGAGGCAGCAGUGGGGAAUUUUGGACAAUGGGGGAAACCCUGAUCCAGCAAUGCCGCGUGUGUGAAGAAGGCCUUCGGGUUGUAAAGCACUUUUGUCCGGAAAGAAAACUUCUGCCCUAAUACGGUGGGAGGAUGACGGUACCGGAAGAAUAAGCACCGGUUAACUACGUGCCAGCAGCCGCGGUAAUACGUAGGGUGCGAGCGUUAAUCGGGAAUUACUGGGCGUAAAGCGUGCGCAGGCGGUUCGUUAAGACAGAUGUGGAAAUCCCUAGGUUUAACUUAGGGGUGGUAGGGAAACUUGGCGGGGGUACAAUUGUGAAAAGG